rnacentral:rRNA from 1 species
GGGUGACAAUCGCCGUGCCAGCAUCAGCGGUAAAACGGCUUCCGCAAGCAAUAGUAAUUUAAAUUGGUGUAAAGGGUACGUAGCCGGCCAAACAUGGCUAGAGUUAGAUACGGGUAAGUACAAUACUUGGAGUAGGGCUGAUAUCCGAUUAUCCCAAGGGGAGUGCUAAAGGCGAAGGCAACUUACUGGUAAUAACUGACGGUGAGGUACGAAGGUCGGGGCAUGGAAAGAGAUUAGAUACCUCAUUACUCCUGACAGUAAACGAUGUAGAUUAAGGAUAGAAAUAAUUCUGUCCUAACGCUAACGCAUUAAAUCUACCACCUGUAUAGUAUAGUCGCAAGGCCGAAAUACAAAUAAUUAGACGGCCUGAGAGCAAACGGAGUGAAGCAUGUUAUUUAAUACGAUAACCCGCGUACAAUCUUACCAGCUUUUGAAUCUUAGACAGGUGUUGCAUGGUUGUCGUCAGCUCGUGCUAAUGGUGUCUGGUUAAUUCCAAACAACGAGCGCAAUCCUUACUUCUAGUUUCUC